ensembl:snoRNA
UGGUCAUUACCAAGGCUUUUAGAAUGAAGUUUCUCAUUUGCUGUGGAAAUGACCAUAAAAGAAUUUCCCACUAGGUUUUCUAUCUGCUCCUUGCUAGCAAUCAACUUAUUGAGAACAUUA